rnacentral:rRNA from 1 species
AAAAGCUUUCUUUAAUUGAAUAAUUGAAUUUAAUUUUUUAGUGCAAAAGCAAAAAUAAAAAUUAGGGACAAGAAGACCCUAUGAAUUUUUUAUUAAAUUUUAUAAAACUUUAUAUAAAAUUUAAUUUAAUUGGGGUGAUGGAAAAAGAAUAAAUAUCUUUUUUUAAAAGAAAAUUGGUUCCGUUCUUAGCGAUUAAAUGAAAAAAAUACUCUAGGGAUAACAGCGUAAUAAUUUUGGAUAGUUCAUAUAGAUAAAAUAGUUUGCGACCUCGAUGUUGGAUUAGGAUUCUUUUUUGGUGAAGAAGUUAAAAAAAGAAGUUUGUUCAACUUAUAAUUUCCUACUUGAUCUGAGUUCAGACCGG